rnacentral:rRNA from 1 species
UGGGGAAUAUUGGACAAUGGGCGCAAGCCUGAUCCAGCCAUGCCGCGUGAGUGAUGAAGGCCCUAGGGUUGUAAAGCUCUUUCACCGGUGAAGAUAAUGACGGUAACCGGAGAAGAAGCCCCGGCUAACUUCGUGCCAGCAGCCGCGGUAAUACGAAGGGGGCUAGCGCUGUUCGGAUUUACUGGGCGUAAAGCGCACGUAGGCGGACUAUUAAGUCAGGGGUGAAAUCCCGGGGCUCAACCCCGGAACUGCCUUUGAUACUGGUAGUCUUGAGUUCGAGAGAGGUGAGUGGAAUUCCGAGUGUAGAGGUGAAAUUCGUAGAUAUUCGGAGGAACACCAGUGGCGAAGGCGGCUCACUGGCUCGAUACUGACGCUGAGGUGCGAAAGCGUGGGGAGCAAACAGG